rnacentral:lncRNA from 1 species
CAAACCACAUGUAUGACAAAGUUGUUCACCACGUGCACUGCCCGGUUCCUGGCCUUUGCAUGUGACAGAGCAUCUGGAAGAUGCUGCGGGACCCACUAAGGAAGCGGCGUUGCAAAGUCAGGCCCACAGCCCGGCAGCAGGCAGGCAUUUGUUCCCUGCCUGUCUCUCUCACUCGCUGAUGCAUUAGGAAAGCUUUCUCGUGGCAACAAUCUGGCUUCCAUCCUCAGCUUUGCAAAGAGGACCCAGCACAGUGACC